rnacentral:rRNA from 1 species
UACGGGGGGGGCAAGCGUUGUUCGGAAUUACUGGGCGUAAAGGGUUCGUAGGUGGCCAACUAAGUCAGACGUGAAAUCCCUCAGCUUAACUGGGGAACUGCGUCUGAUACUGGUUGGCUUGAGUGCAGGAGAGGAACGCGGAAUUCCAGGUGUAGCGGUGAAAUGCGUAGAUAUCUGGAGGAACACCCGUGGCGAAGGCGGCUGGCUGGAUCGCAACUGACGCUGAGGAACGAAAGCUAGGGGAGCAAACAGG